CUGACCUGCCCACUGAAUAUUGUUUAAAGGGCCGCAGUAUUUUGACUGUGCAAAGGUAGCAUAAUCAUUAGUCUUUUAAUUGAAGGCUGGUAUGAAUGGUUGGAUGAGAUACAAGCUGUGUCAUAAAAAUUAAUAUUUGAACUUACCUUUUUAGUCAAAAGGCUAAAAUAAUCUUAAAAGACGAGAAGACCCCAUAGAGCUUUAUAUAAUUAAUAUUUAAAUUAUUAAGAUUUUUAAAAUUUAAUUAUUAAAUUAUAUUUUGUUGGGGUGACAAUAAAAUUAAUAAAACUUUUAUUUUUAAUUAACAUUGAUUUAUGAGUAAAUGAUCCAGUUUUAUUGAUUAUAAAUUUAAGUUACCUUGGGGAUAACAGCGUAAUUUUUUUUGAGAGUUCUUAUCGACAAAAAAGAUUGCGACCUCGAUGUUGGAUUAAGAGUAAUUUUGGGUGUAGAAGUUCAAAGUNUUAAGUCUGUUCGACUUUUAAAUUCUU
rnacentral:rRNA from 1 species